CUCUCUCGCUCGGAGCUGGUGACGCAUGCUCACCGAUUCACGGAGGCGCUGACGACUGAUCGUGUGGGGCGCAAUGCGUGAGCUGUAGCUCAUCCGCGCGCAUAAAAACAAAACUCCGUCGCGUGGUGUGGCAUACGGUUUCCUGGGGCGAUCAUCUGGCACAAUCCUUUUGGCAUUACUGCGAUGGAAUUCCUCCAACCACAUGUGGUUCGGAUUCGGAGUGAGAUGAGUAACGCUUCCCAGUGUGGAAGACAUUCGAGAUCCUGGCGAUAAACUGGGGGAGACGUGUGUAGCAAAGAUCCAUUCGGCCAUUGGAUACAACGCGAUGGCAAACGGGGCUGGAAUUUUGUCCAUCCGGCUGAAACGAAUGACAUCCAUACAACAUAAACAGCCAGAGUCGGAGGCGGCUCGUUCCCGGGUAAAAAGAGACACCUGGCAUCAGCUGCGAACACGAUGCGGACAUUGAGUGCGAGCGAAGGAGUUGUGAACGAUAGGGUACGUGAAACCGGCACUGGAAACAGUUGUUUGGAUUGUAAAGUGAUACAUCUAUCGUACAGAUAGUGUGUUGUUCUGUGCUGACUUGCGUUGCUACCUCAUCCAGUCUGAUUUUGAUUCUAUAGACAUAUGUCCUCAGAAAUAACUCGAUAACCGUUGCAAACCACUACCUUGCUUGAGGCCAGUAAUAACAGAAUAUUUUAUUUGGAUGACAGGGGUAGGGGUAGUGUUGAUGCACUUGACAUCCAACUGUUACAAGCACGCAUCGUUUGCCAAUUUUUAUCAAUCUCCUAUACCAUUUUGGGAACUUGAUUUAAACGGACGCUCCCUCGUGCGUGUGCGUCGUAAAAGUAUAAUGCGGUUAAUGUGCAUGGCUACCAUGCACCAUUUUCGUAUUCCGCUUUACAAAUCGGACGUGGACCACCUCGUAGUCCAGUG